rnacentral:rRNA from 1 species
AGUAACACGUGAGCAACCUGCCCCUGACUCUGGGAUAAGCGCUGGAAACGGCGUCUAAUACUGGAUAUGUGACGUGAUCGCAUGGUCUGCGUCUGGAAAGAAUUUCGGUUGGGGAUGGGCUCGCGGCCUAUCAGCUUGUUGGUGAGGUAAUGGCUCACCAAGGCGUCGACGGGUAGCCGGCCUGAGAGGGUGACCGGCCACACUGGGACUGAGACACGGCCCAGACUCCUACGGGAGGCAGCAGUGGGGAAUAUUGCACAAUGGGCGCAAGCCUGAUGCAGCAACGCCGCGUGAGGGAUGACGGCCUUCGGGUUGUAAACCUCUUUUAGCAGGGAAGAAGCGAAAGUGACGGUACCUGCAGAAAAAGCGCCGGCUAACUACGUGCCAGCAGCCGCGGUAAUACGUAGGGCGCAAGCGUUAUCCGGAAUUAUUGGGCGUAAAGAGCUCGUAGGCGGUUUGUCGCGUCUGCUGUGAAAUCCGGAGGCUCAACCUCCGGCCUGCAGUGGGUACGGGCAGACUAGAGUGCGGUAGGGGAGAUUGGAAUUCCUGGUGUAGCGGUGGAAUGCGCAGAUAUCAGGAGGAACACCGAUGGCGAAGGCAGAUCUCUGGGCCGUAACUGACGCUGA